UCCGUAGGUGAACCUGCGGAAGGAUCAUUAGUGAAUUGAAUAUGUUAGCGGACCUCUUCGGAGUCCCUAGCAUCAAAUCAUAUCCAUAACACCUGUGAACUGUAAGGCUGUCUUGAAAACGAAAGUGAUUAGAGCGCCUGCCCAUUUUAUACAAACAUUAAAGUAACAAACGUAGUCUUAUUAUAAUCUAAUAAAACUUUCAACAACGGAUCUCUUGGCUCUCGCAUCGAUGAAGAACGCAGCGAAAUGCGAUAAGUAAUGUGAAUUGCAGAAUUCAGUGAAUCAUCGAAUCUUUGAACGCACCUUGCGCUCUUUGGUAUUCCGAAGAGCAUGCCUGUUUGAGUGUCAUGAAAAUAUCAACCUUGACUUGGGUUUAGUGCUCUUGUCUUGGCUUGGAUUUGGCUGUUUGCCGCUCGAAAGAGUCGGCUCAGCUUAAAAGUAUUAGCUGGAUCUGUCUUUGAGACUUGGUUUGACUUGGCGUAAUAAGUUAUUUCGCUGAGGACAAUCUUCGGAUUGGCCGAGUUUCUGGGACGUUUGUCCGCUUUCUAAUACAAGUUCUAGCUUGCUAGACAUGACUUUUUUAUUAUCUGGCCUCAAAUCAGGUAGGACUACCCGCUGAACUUAAGCAUA
rnacentral:rRNA from 1 species